rnacentral:rRNA from 1 species
CAGCAGCCGCGGUAAAACGGAGGGGGCUAGCGUUGUUCGGAAUUACUGGGCGUAAAGCGCACGUAGGCGGCUUUGUAAGUCAGAGGUGAAAGCCUGGAGCUCAACUCCAGAACUGCCUUUGAGACUGCAUCGCUUGAAUCCAGGAGAGGUCAGUGGAAUUCCGAGUGUAGAGGUGAAAUUCGUAGAUAUUCGGAAGAACACCAGUGGCGAAGGCGGCUGACUGGACUGGUAUUGACGCUGAGGUGCGAAAGCGUGGGGAGCAAACAGGAUUAGAUACCCGUGUAGUCCCUGUCUCUUAUAC